AUUCCACCUCCCACACCUUCCCAACCCUGGCUGUGCUGGCCCUGACUGAGAGGAGGGGGUUUCCACUUCCGUCACCUGGCAAGGGAACCUCCACAGCCCAAGAAUAUUAACAUUUAUCAGGUGCCGGGCAUGGGCCUCAUGUGUUUUAUGUAAUUCAAUCCUCCCAACAAAAGUAUGAGAAAGACCACACUCAGGCCAAGCACUGUGGUUCCCGCCUGAAAUCCCAGCGCUUUGGGAGGUGGAGGCAAGAGGAUUGCUUGAGCUCAGAAGUUCAAGACCACCCUGGGCAACACAAGCCAGCCCUGCAGCACAGCCUUCAACAUGAGCAACUCCUGCUCUCUGUAGCUCCAGCCCCAGCCUGGACCUAUCUUUCAGAGCCAUAAUGCUGAGACAGUCCCUGAGUCUUGGAUGAACACAGGACUCACAGUGUCUACACCGGACAGUUUCUGUUUGCACGACGUUGAGUAAACUUCACAUCCAUCGGGGAAGUUACCCUUUGGGAUUACUGAUGAAGGUGAGGAGAAGAUGCUGUUCUGAGAGCUGCUGAUAAUACGUGGAUCCAAACCCACAGGCUUGAGCUGCUUAAUUGAAAUUCACGUCAAAAUGAAAUUCUGGUUUAGCUCAACUUGACUACUAUGGAUGAUGAAAAUAAAUCCCUGGGUCACACAAGGAUAGUGAUUGAGUAGAGCUUGUUUGCUGGCACAGGAAUGACAUUUCAACUGGAAUUAAAUUGUCGUCAGUUAACAGAAAAAAAAAAAAAAA
rnacentral:lncRNA from 1 species